rnacentral:tRNA from 1 species
GCCGGCCUCGGUGAGGCGCCCGUCGGCGUCGAGGGCGCCGAGGUCGGCGAGCAUGACGCGCGCCUCGCGGAGCGCUGCCGCGGGCGGCG